rnacentral:rRNA from 1 species
GAGUACACGAGCGGCGGACGGCUGAGUAACGCGUAGGAACGUACCCCAAACUGAGGGAUAAGCACCAGAAAUGGUGUCUAAUACCGCAUGUGCUCUAAGGAGUAAAGCUUCGGCGGUUUGGGAACGGCCUGCGUACGAUUAGAUUGUUGGUGAGGUAAUGGCUCACCAAGUCGACGAUCGUUAGCUGGUCUGAGAGGAUGAUCAGCCAGACUGGGACUGAGAACGGCCCAGACUCCUACGGGAGGCAGCAGUAGGGAAUUUUCCACAAUGGACGAAAGUCUGAUGGAGCAACGCCGCGUGCAGGAUGAAUGCCUUCGGGUUGUAAACUGCUUUUAUCUGUGACGAAUAUGACGGUAGCAGAUGAAUAAGGAUCGGCUAACUCCGUGCCAGCAGCCGCGGUCAUACGGAGGAUCCAAGCGUUAUCCGGAAUUACUGGGCGUAAAGAGUUGCGUAGGUGGCAGAGUAUGUCUGUAGUGAAAGCGUGUGGCUCAACCAUAUACACAUUACAGAAACUGCUCAGCUAGAGGGCGAGAGAGGUUACUAGAAUUCCUAGUGUAGGAGUGAAAUCCGUAGAUAUUAGGAGGAAUACCGAUGGCGUAGGCAGGUAACUGGCUCGUCCCUGACACUAAGGCACGAAAGCGUGGGGAACAAACGGGAUUAGAUACCCCGGUAGU